rnacentral:rRNA from 1 species
UAAUCUGCCCACUGAUUUAAUAUUGAAGGGCUGCAGUAUAUUGACUGUACAAAGGUAGCAUAAUCAUUAGUCAUUUAAUUGAUGACUUGUAUGAAAGAUUGGAUGAAAUAUAAACUGUCUCUUAAUUAAAUAUAGAAAUUAAUUUUUUAAUUAAAAAGUUAAAAUAAAUUAAAAAGACGAGAAGACCCUAUAGAGUUUUAUAAUUAAUUUAAUUAAGAUUAUUUAAAUAAAAAAAAGUUAAAAUUAAUUUAAUUAUUUUGUUGGGGUGACAAAAAAAUAUAAAAAACUUUUUUUAAAUUAAAACAUUUAUAAGUGGUUAAAUGAUCCAAUAUUAUUGAUUAUAAGAAAAAAUUACCUUAGGGAUAACAGCGUAAUUUUUUUUUUUAGUUCAAAUAAGAAAAAGAGUUUGCGACCUCGAUGUUGGAUUAAGAUAAAAUUUAAAUGCAGAAG